UUGGUCGGCGCUCGUCCUCACGUGACACUUCUGGUCUUUGGUUGGCUGCUAGUUCAAUUUCCCCCGCCCCCUCGGAGGGUGAGUACCCGUGCUUGGAGCGAGGCUGGGGGCAGAGAAGCCUCUUGGUUUCCUUGCCUACGGGAGGAGGCUCUUAGUACGCAGCAGGCCUGGGUCUUGGAACCCCGGGCCUUGCUUGCUAUAGCGGGAAGGUUGGGAGCUCGGGAAAGAGAGUCAGGAACGGUCUGGAAUUACACUGGAAGCCCCCGUCCCACUUUGAAGAAGGUAAGUGCUAUUAUCCCCAUUUCACAGUUGAAGAAACUGAGCCAAGCAGAUGUGAAGGGACUUGCUAAAGUUCACACAGGUAGUAAGUGUCUGAGUGAAGAUUUGAACCCAAGUUUUCCUGACUCCUGAGAGUGCUCUGUACACUGGGCAACCUAUGUACCUAUCUUUAGAGAAAGAUAAUAUUAUCUAGCACUUAUAAAGCCGGCAUUAAACACAAGGUAAUCUCAUUUGAUCCUCUUAGCAACUCUGAGAUAGGUGCUAUUGUUAGCCACAUUUCAGAGAUGGAGAAAUUGAGAAUAGUCACUAAGACAGUGUCCAAGAUCUUCCAAAGUUUGAAUCCCACACUCUUUCCAUAUUGUCACCAAACUGCUUUUUAAAAGAAUUUUCUGAAAUUCUUGCUACAUUCCCAGAAUUGGUCUGAGAGAAAUAAGUAUACUAAUUGUCCUGUCCUAAGUAGAAGGAAGGCAUGUCAGUAGUGCAUGCAUUUUAAACUCUUUAAGCAUUAGAGAAGAUGGAUUUGUAGUGAUCCAUUGUACCUUCUCCAAGUUAUGGCCAGGUUUGGGGGAAAAUGCAGUUCCAAUAAUUUAAAGCCUCCAUUUUGCAGGGAAGACCUUGGUUGCUACAAAAUAAGCCCCCAUAUUGGAAAAAGACAGCUUUUCAAUGCCAUCUGUGGCCUAAUUGGUCUCAUUGAACAGAUUUGAGGGAGAGUUAGUCCAGAAUAAUUUUGAGGGAGAGUUAGUCCAGAACCUUUUAUUUGAAAAAAAAAAAAGAGAUAAUUGAAAUAAUUAAUUUGAAUGAAUGAAAGAGCAUUUAUUAAGCACUUACUAUGUACAAAUAUUUAAUAACUUUAAAUUAUCUAAUAACUAUUUCAAUUAUGUGUGUAUAUAAAACAUUCUUUUGUGAUUUCCAAGAACCACAAAGCAAUUGAAAUUUUUAUAAGGAUAUUUUCUAAUGGAAAAAUACUUAUAUAGUUUAUAGGAAGUAUAUGCAAAGUUUUACAAGUGCUCUGAGCAAAACAACAACAAAAAGUUAUAAAUAACUGAAUCAAAAGUCUAGACCUCAAGACAGUUCCAAUGUAUUUGUUUUGUUUUUCUUUUUAUACAGCAUGGUGUUGGGUGCAGAGUGGUCAUUCAAAUAAACUUGUUGAUUGACUAUGUCUUCUCA
rnacentral:lncRNA from 1 species